GGUAAGAUGUGCUAAGUAUUAAGCAACUAGGCUCAUGACCUAGGCAUGUAGGUGAAAGGCCUUCUCUUACUU
rnacentral:tRNA from 1 species